ensembl:ncRNA lncRNA:CR44552 long non-coding RNA:CR44552
AUUUUUUUUUUUUUUUUUGUCCUGCCUUUUUCUGCUUUUCCUUGCCUCCGAGUUGGCUUUUAUUUCAGCUUUGUCGGUGGCGAAACGCGAAAUAUUUAAGAAGCCAGCAAGCGGCAGCGACAAUCACCGUUUGCAAUGCGAGCAACGUGAGGCUUAAAUAAAUGUGUCUCGAUUGGAAGGACGGGCCGAGUUGACAACAACGGGCCCCACCGAUAUUUAUCCUGCUGCAACGGCUCUGAGCCGUUUUCCCUCCGAUUCUGAGUUUUCUUCGGCCAUGGCUUUAGCUUUUGGCCUGGCUUUUGCUCAAUGGAGCUAGUAGAUCUAAUCAUCUACCGGCUCCAAAGGGGCCACAAUAAGUGCGGCGUGCAGGCGACAAAUUCGUGGUUCAACUCAACGGCUGGUAAACAGAGAGAAAAAUUAUG